rnacentral:tRNA from 1 species
GGGCCUGUAGCUCAGUGGACUAGAGCACGUGGCUACGAACCACGGUGUCGGGGGUUCGAAUCCCUCCUCGCUCG